rnacentral:rRNA from 1 species
AUACAGAGGUCUCAAGCGUUGUUCGGAUUCAUUGGGCGUAAAGGGUGCGUAGGCGGCGCGGUAAGUCGGGUGUGAAAUUUCGAGGCUUAACUUCGAAACUGCAUUCGAUACUGCCGUGCUUGAGGACUGGAGAGGAGACUGGAAUUUACGGUGUAGCGGUGAAAUGCGUAGAUAUCGUAAGGAAGACCAGUGGCGAAGGCGGGUCUCUGGACAGUUCCUGACGCUGAGGCACGAAGGCCAGGGGAGCAAACGGGA